rnacentral:rRNA from 1 species
UACGAAGGGGGCUAGCGUUGCUCGGAAUCACUGGGCGUAAAGGGUGCGUAGGCGGGUCUUUAAGUCAGGGGUGAAAUCCUGGAGCUCAACUCCAGAACUGCCUUUGAUACUGAGGAUCUUGAGUUCGGGAGAGGUGAGUGGAACUGCCAGUGUAGAGGUGAAAUUCGUAGAUAUUCGCAAGAACACCAGUGGCGAAGGCGGCUCACUGGCCCGAUACUGACGCUGAGGCACGAAAGCGUGGGGAGCAAACAGG